rnacentral:lncRNA from 1 species
AAAUCAUCCAACUUCUCUCUAGACCUUCAAAAGCUGAUAUCGUUUUCCGGCGGCCGGUAGGCUAAUCGCCACCGGUUGCCAUACUCUUUUGUGUUUUCUUUUUGGUAUAUUAUAUUAUCUUCCGUUAAGCGGAUAAUGGUUUUCGCUAGGCGACUUGUAUUUCGUUUGACGAUUUUGUUGUGUCUUUUCAAGCCAAUAUCGAACUUGUUCUUCAUGAUUAUCUUGUGCUUUCGAUUUGGUUUGAAUAAAUAAGUUUUAGAUAUGUCCAGAAAAUCCUCUUUGCUUGCUUUAAUCAAAAAUCCCGAAGCUAUGUUCUUAGUUCUUCUUUUCUCAUCUUAGCUUGUUUUACUUCAAUGGAUUAUAAAUCUACAUGAUUUAUGGCCACAUAAACUGGGCUUUGCAUGUAGUAUUUCAUUGUUUGUAAAUCAAGAGAUUGGGAGUGUCUUGGCGAUGGUGAGAUCAGAUCAAGAAGAGUUGGGGUCUUAUGGAUGUCCUAACAAAUGAUCUAUAUCUCUUCCUCCUUAAACCUCCCCGGAGAUACGUGAAGAUGGUGACUGAAGAAUAUGGUCAUAUGCCUAGGCAGUCUGCAAAGAGGAUAAUCUCAGAGGAUUUCUGAAGUCUGUUGAUGGUGGUAAAUUGAAGCGGAGAAGACAGCGGUUUAGAGGCGGAGAAACACCGACUUCGCGGCGGAGGAUACAUCGACUUCGCGGCGGAGGAUACACCGGUAAUAGGCGUGUUCGGAAGCUGGUGGAAGAUGCUAGAUCUAUCUCCUAAAUGAUGCCACGUGGUCCUAAUCUCUUUCGGUGGAAGACGCGUAGACCAAUUCUCAUCUCAUCAAAUAUGUUUUCUUUCCGAUUAAGUUUAAUAUAUUGGACAUUUAUGUAGACUUUAAAUCCUCUGUACCUUGUCCAUUGGGCUUUAUGAAAUGAAUUAUGUUGACAAAAAAAAAAAAAUCAAUCUCCAGAGAAAAUAAUGGACAAAAAUCUCUUAUGGACCAAAUGGUCAAAAAAAAAUCUACAACAUCCAAAAAAAAUCUAACAUGGACCAAUUAAAGGGAAAUGACGAUUUUGCCAUUAAUGAAAGAGUAAUAUGGGCCAUUGGAUCAUAACAUCUACGUUUUAAUCUUGGCCAUACAAUUUAACACAUGUCUCAUUCUCCCUCCUUCUCUUUUUUUAAUCACAGCCACUCACAUCCACACAAUCUUUCUUAUCUCAUUCUCUCAUUCGAGUUGGUAAAACUAGUAUAACUCGUACAACUAAACAUUUUAAAAAAUUAUAUAAUUAGUAUAAAAAUAUUAUAAUUUACACAUGAAAUUAACAAAUAAAUAUUCUAAUUGGUAUAUGAUGACAAAAAUGUCUUCUAAUUCGUUUAAGAUUUUUCAAUUUUUUGUUAUAUUAUUGUAUUACACACUUAAUUUUAUAUUAUAUAUUUAUACUUUUAAGGUUAUUAACUAUAUUAGCCAUAUUUUUAUGAUAAUCAAACAUCAAACAUAUUUUACAAAGCUAUGAUGUGAAAAUAUUGGUACAACCCUUAUAACUAGACAUAUAACCAAUAUAUAUAUAUAUAUAUAUAACUUUUAUUAUAUAUUAGACGAGUAUUACUAGUAUAACUAGUACAACUUCGACGUUUCAGAAAUUAACAAAACCAAUUUGGUAUUUCGUAUGAGAAAAACAAUCAUAUAUCCCAGUUGGUAUGUACUCAUAAAGUUUUUCUUAAUUUAAAUUGAAGUUUUAGAAAAAAAUAUAAAAAUUAUUACACAAUUCCAUAAGUUUACAUGAUCUACCUUAUACUUUUAAUGUUUGUUAACUUGUUUGUCCACAUAAGUUUUGGAAAACAUACAUGAAAUGUAGUUUUACAAAAUUGAAGAUUUCAUUGUAACCGGGCAAAGACAUGUAAACAUAAAUAAGUGGUACAACUAAGGUAAAUGUAUUUAUUAUGUGGUACAACUAAUAUUUUAUGAUUUCACUGCCAAAAUACAACUAUGCACAAAAUGGUACAACUCAAAAACUAGUACAACUAUAUACAGUCGGUACAACUAGAAAACUGGUACAACUACUUGUUAUUUUAUUUAGUAUUAUUUUAAAUAUGCAUCAUGUUGUAACUUAAAUAUAUCAUCCCAACUUCUCUCUAGACCUUCAAAAGCUGAUAUCGUUUUCCGGCGGCCGGUAGGCUAAUCGCCACCGGUUGCCAUACUCUUUUGUGUUUUCUUUUUGGUGUAUUAUAUUAUCUUCCGUUAAGCGGAUAAUGGUUUUCGCUAGGCGACUUGUAUUUCGUUUGACGAUUUUGUUGUGUCUUUUCAAGCCAAUAUCGAACUUGUUCUUCAUGAUUAUCUUGUGCUUUCGAUUUGGUUUGAAUAAAUAAGUUUUAGAUAUGUCCAGAAAAUCCUCUUUGCUUGCUUUAAUCAAAAAUCCCGAAGCUAUGUUCUUAGUUCUUCUUUUCUCAUCUUAGCUUGUUUUACUUCAAUGGACUAUAAAUCUACAUGAUUUAUGGCCACAUAAACUGGGCUUUGCAUGUAGUAUUUCAUUGUUUGUAAAUCAAGAGAUUGGGAGUGUCUUGGCGAUGGUGAGAUCAGAUCAAGAAGAGUUGGGGUCUUAUGGAUGUCCUAACAAAUGAUCUAUAUCUCUUCCUCCUUCAACCUCCCCGGAGAUACGUGAAGAUGGUGACUGAAGAAUAUGGUCAUAUGCCUAGGCAGUCUGCAAAGAGGAUAAUCUCAGAGGAUUUCUGAAGUCUGUUGAUGGUGGUAAAUUGAAGCGGAGAAGACAGCGGUUUAGAGGCGGAGAAGACACCGACUUCGCGGCGGAGGAUACACCGGCAAUAGGCGUGUGCGGAAGUUGGUGGUAGAUGCUAGAUCUAUCUCCUAAAUGAUGCCACGUGGUCCUAAUCUCUUUCGGUGGAAGACGCGUAGACCAAUUCUCAUCUCAUCAAUAUGUUUUCUUACCGAUUAGGUUUAAUAUAUUGGGCCUUUAUGUAGACUUUUAAAUCCUCUGUACCUUGCCCAUUGGGCUUUAUGAAAUGAAAUAUGUUCAAAAAAAAA